rnacentral:rRNA from 2 species
UUAAGCGACUAAGCGUACACGGUGGAUGCCCUGGCAGUCAGAGGCGAUGAAGGACGUGCUAAUCUGCGAUAAGCGUCGGUAAGGUGAUAUGAACCGUUAUAACCGGCGAUUUCCGAAUGGGGAAACCCAGUGUGUUUCGACACACUAUCAUUAACUGAAUCCAUAGGUUAAUGAGGCGAACCGGGGGAACUGAAACAUCUAAGUACCCCGAGGAAAAGAAAUCAACCGAGAUUCCCCCAGUAGCGGCGAGCGAACGGGGAGGAGCCCAGAGCCUGAAUCAGUGUGUGUGUUAGUGGAAGCGUCUGGAAAGGCGCGCGAUACAGGGUGACAGCCCCGUACACAAAAAUGCACAUGCUGUGAGCUCGAUGAGUAGGGCGGGACACGUGGUAUCCUGUCUGAAUAUGGGGGGACCAUCCUCCAAGGCUAAAUACUCCUGACUGACCGAUAGUGAACCAGUACCGUGAGGGAAAGGCGAAAAGAACCCCGGCGAGGGGAGUGAAAAAGAACCUGAAACCGUGUACGUACAAGCAGUGGGAGCCUCUUUAUGGGGUGACUGCGUACCUUUUGUAUAAUGGGUCAGCGACUUAUAUUCUGUAGCAAGGUUAACCGAAUAGGGGAGCCGAAGGGAAACCGAGUCUUAACUGGGCGUUAAGUUGCAGGGUAUAGACCCGAAACCCGGUGAUCUAGCCAUGGGCAGGUUGAAGGUUGGGUAACACUAACUGGAGGACCGAACCGACUAAUGUUGAAAAAUUAGCGGAUGACUUGUGGCUGGGGGUGAAAGGCCAAUCAAACCGGGAGAUAGCUGGUUCUCCCCGAAAGCUAUUUAGGUAGCGCCUCGUGAACUCAUCUCCGGGGGUAGAGCACUGUUUCGGCAAGGGGGUCAUCCCGACUUACCAACCCGAUGCAAACUGCGAAUACCGGAGAAUGUUAUCACGGGAGACACACGGCGGGUGCUAACGUCCGUCGUGAAGAGGGAAACAACCCAGACCGCCAGCUAAGGUCCCAAAGUCAUGGUUAAGUGGGAAACGAUGUGGGAAGGCCCAGACAGCCAGGAUGUUGGCUUAGAAGCAGCCAUCAUUUAAAGAAAGCGUAAUAGCUCACUGGUCGAGUCGGCCUGCGCGGAAGAUGUAACGGGGCUAAACCAUGCACCGAAGCUGCGGCAGCGACGCUUAUGCGUUGUUGGGUAGGGGAGCGUUCUGUAAGCCUGUGAAGGUGUGCUGUGAGGCAUGCUGGAGGUAUCAGAAGUGCGAAUGCUGACAUAAGUAACGAUAAAGCGGGUGAAAAGCCCGCUCGCCGGAAGACCAAGGGUUCCUGUCCAACGUUAAUCGGGGCAGGGUGAGUCGACCCCUAAGGCGAGGCCGAAAGGCGUAGUCGAUGGGAAACAGGUUAAUAUUCCUGUACUUGGUGUUACUGCGAAGGGGGGACGGAGAAGGCUAUGUUGGCCGGGCGACGGUUGUCCCGGUUUAAGCGUGUAGGCUGGUUUUCCAGGCAAAUCCGGAAAAUCAAGGCUGAGGCGUGAUGACGAGGCACUACGGUGCUGAAGCAACAAAUGCCCUGCUUCCAGGAAAAGCCUCUAAGCAUCAGGUAACAUCAAAUCGUACCCCAAACCGACACAGGUGGUCAGGUAGAGAAUACCAAGGCGCUUGAGAGAACUCGGGUGAAGGAACUAGGCAAAAUGGUGCCGUAACUUCGGGAGAAGGCACGCUGAUAUGUAGGUGAAGUCCCUCGCGGAUGGAGCUGAAAUCAGUCGAAGAUACCAGCUGGCUGCAACUGUUUAUUAAAAACACAGCACUGUGCAAACACGAAAGUGGACGUAUACGGUGUGACGCCUGCCCGGUGCCGGAAGGUUAAUUGAUGGGGUCAGCGCAAGCGAAGCUCUUGAUCGAAGCCCCGGUAAACGGCGGCCGUAACUAUAACGGUCCUAAGGUAGCGAAAUUCCUUGUCGGGUAAGUUCCGACCUGCACGAAUGGCGUAAUGAUGGCCAGGCUGUCUCCACCCGAGACUCAGUGAAAUUGAACUCGCUGUGAAGAUGCAGUGUACCCGCGGCAAGACGGAAAGACCCCGUGAACCUUUACUAUAGCUUGACACUGAACAUUGAGCCUUGAUGUGUAGGAUAGGUGGGAGGCUUAGAAGUGUGGACGCCAGUCUGCAUGGAGCCGACCUUGAAAUACCACCCUUUAAUGUUUGAUGUUCUAACGUUGACCCGUAAUCCGGGUUGCGGACAGUGUCUGGUGGGUAGUUUGACUGGGGCGGUCUCCUCCUAAAGAGUAACGGAGGAGCACGAAGGUUGGCUAAUCCUGGUCGGACAUCAGGAGGUUAGUGCAAUGGCAUAAGCCAGCUUGACUGCGAGCGUGACGGCGCGAGCAGGUGCGAAAGCAGGUCAUAGUGAUCCGGUGGUUCUGAAUGGAAGGGCCAUCGCUCAACGGAUAAAAGGUACUCCGGGGAUAACAGGCUGAUACCGCCCAAGAGUUCAUAUCGACGGCGGUGUUUGGCACCUCGAUGUCGGCUCAUCACAUCCUGGGGCUGAAGUAGGUCCCAAGGGUAUGGCUGUUCGCCAUUUAAAGUGGUACGCGAGCUGGGUUUAGAACGUCGUGAGACAGUUCGGUCCCUAUCUGCCGUGGGCGCUGGAGAACUGAGGGGGGCUGCUCCUAGUACGAGAGGACCGGAGUGGACGCAUCACUGGUGUUCGGGUUGUCAUGCCAAUGGCACUGCCCGGUAGCUAAAUGCGGAAGAGAUAAGUGCUGAAAGCAUCUAAGCACGAAACUUGCCCCGAGAUGAGUUCUCCCUGACCCCUUGAGAGUCCUGAAGGAACGUUGAAGACGACGACGUUGAUAGGCCGGGUGUGUAAGCGCAGCGAUGCGUUGAGCUAACCGGUACUAAUGAACCGUGAGGCUUAACCUU